ACCCACGAGCGUUGAAAAGCUCGGGGAUGACUUGUGGGUAGCGGUGAAAUUCCAAUCGAGCCCGGAGAUAGCUGGUUCUCCCCGAAAUAGCUUUAGGGCUAGCCUCAAGGUGAGAGAUACGGAGGUAGAGCACUGAAUGUCCUAGGGGGUAUUGCACCUACCGAAGACUAUCAAACUCCGAAUGCCGUCAUCUUAUACUUGGGAGUCAGACUGUGGGUGAUAAGAUUCAUAGUCGAAAGGGCAACAGCCCAGAUCGUCAGCUAAGGUCCCUAAAUGUAAGUUAAGUGGUAAAGGAUGUGGGAUUGCACAGACAACCAGGAUGUUGGCUUAGAAGCAGCCACUCAUUCAAAGAGUGCGUAAUAGCUCACUGGUCGAGUGAUCCUGCGCCGAAGAUUUCCGGGGCUAAAACUUACUACCGAAGCUACGGCAUCAGUAAUGAUGGGUAGGGGAGCUUCCCAUACGGGUUGAAGCAUGACCGUAAGGACAUGUGGACAGUAUGGGAGUGAGAAUGUUGGCAUGAGUAGCGAGAUGUGGGUGAGAAUCCCACAGGCCGUAAACCCAAGGUUUCCAGGGGAAGGUUCGUCCGCCCUGGGUUAGUCGGGACCUAAGCUGAGGCCGAAAGGCGUAGGUGAUGGACAACAGGUUGAUAUUCCUGUACUACCGAUAACCGUUUGAGAGAUGGGAUGACACAGUAGGAUAAGCUAAGCACACUGUUGGUUAUGUGUGCCCAAGCAUUGAGGCAGUCAAAGUAGGCAAAUCCGCUUUGAUAAUGCUGGGAUGUGAUGGGGAGCGAAAUUUAGUAGCGAAGUAGCUGAUUUCACACUGUCAAGAAAAGUCUCUAUCGAGGUUAAAGGUACCCGUACCGCAAACCGACACAGGUGGGUGAGGAGAGUAUCCUAAGGCUAGCGAGAGAACUGUUGUUAAGGAACUCGGCAAAAUGACCCCGUAACUUAGGGAUAAGGGGUGCCACCAUCAGGUGGCCGCAGAGAAUAGGCCCAAGCGACUGUUUACCAAAAACAUAGGUUUCUGCUAAGUCGCAAGACGAUGUAUAGGAGCUGACGCCUGCCCGGUGCUGGAAGGUUAAGGGGAUCUGUUAGAG
rnacentral:rRNA from 1 species